GAGAGAGAGAGAGAAGAAAGACAGUGUUUAUAAAGCCUGCCUUCCUGGUCUACCCCACUGGGGCUGGAUAGUUCGAUUUCCACAGCUCCAAGGUACAAGGUGCAAGAGUUAAGGUGGUUGAUUGGUCCCCAGCCUCAGCGACAAGAAGUGAGCAGAGGGGAUGCUCUGUGAUGUUGCUUGUUCAACCUGAUUCCCUCCACCCUCCCAGAGGCAGGGGAACCCCCGUCCCCCGCCAACCCACAGUGAUAACAUCUCUCAGGCUUCCUCCUUUGUUGGGUACAGAGGAGGUAGCCACACACAAAAAAAGGGGUGGUGGGUAGGUAGGGAAGGGGGAACUAUAAAUAAUCCAAAGAGGUGGCUAGAAAGGCAGAGAGGACAUGAUGCGAGAGAGAAAGUUUAUGCUUUCAUAUAAAAGGCAUGAGCCACUUGACUUAGGGUAAUCUGAAGGAUCUUUCGUUUGUUUGAUUGAUUUUCCUUUUUGAUUAUUCUCUGAAAUCUGAAGUCUAGGGUUGCCUAAAAGAUGGUGAGUUCUUCUUAUCUCCAAUUUUUCCUGAGGUAGGAAGAACACCAUGGAAUAAGGAGAAAGGAGAUACAAGUAGCCUCUCCAGGAAGAAUGUGACUGAAUACUUUUUAUACAAAACCACAAAAUUAGAUAAAUAUGUAUUUAAGUGUUAUUCCUGAAAGCUGGAGAAAGAAAUCUUACUUCUAAGAAUUGUUUAGCGAAGGAAUAAGAAAAUGUGAUGCUUGGAAGAAAAAACACACUGCCGAGAGGCCUUGCGCUGAGUGUGCUGAACAAUAGACAACCUCUAAGGAUGCUCGCCUGCAAUUCCGGCUCUGCCAUCAAUUCACUGUAUGCCUUUGGAUCAUCUACAAGACAUGAAUGAUGUUCAGAAUUACUUGUCAUGCCCUUUGCUUGGGGCUGAAAACAAGAUGCAGUCACACAGAUUUCAAUGGAGUGUGUACUCUAGAGGCAGACUGCCUGGGAUCAAAAUGCUUGCAGUAUAACCAUUGACAGCUUCCAUAACUUAUCUCUUCCCAGGUUAAUCAACCUGUAAAAUGGGGUAAUAUCUGCUCCUCCCUCAUAGGGUUGUGCAUAAAAAUCUCAUGAGAUUAUAGGUGUAGAGAGGUGAGAACCCACAGAAACCUUUCCAUAAAUGCUACCUAUUAUUAUUAAAUUCUAGCUUUCUUUCAGUUUUCAAAUUUAAAGUAAAGACUAAAAUCAGCUGAGAUAUACUGCAAUCUCCAGCUAAUGUUUGGAGAAGCAUUAGUAGUAUUCCCUUCAUCUUUCCUCAUCCCCUCCUUUUAAAGAACUCUAACUGGGAACAUGCAUUUAUUUCCCUCAUAUCUGUACAAGCCAUUGAUUUGCCAGGAGAGAAAUACAAAGACUUUCACAUUUUUGCUGCUCUCUCUCCUGAAUUAAUACUCCACUUCUGAAUUUAAGGCAGCAAAACUCCAUUCAGUGUUUUAAGAGUGGGUAAAAUAUAUAGAAAUGAGAAUAGCUUUGACAAGUUAACAUCCAUGUGAAUGAGACUAGAGAAAUAACAUUCUGUAUAUGAGUGCUUUUCUUCUAAAUCAUCUUACCAACUUUCAAGUGAUUAGACAAUUUUGUUUCAUUCCCUUCAAACUUACAAAUUAAUAUUUUUAAGAGAUGGAGUUAAUAACCAGUUAAAAACUAUAAAGGCUUCCUCAAUUGAAGGUCGGAGCUUUGCUAUCUAAAACUGACUUAGAGUUACAAUAAAAAUAGCAAUAUCAUGAAAUGCUAUAUUUGUAUUUCUCAGUUCAAUUGCUUUUUAUUUUCAAACAGUAUGCAACUAAGACAUGCCUGAGUGAAGUUUCCUAGGAGCCAGAUAAUUAAUCCAACAUUUAUCUGAAAUGCUGAACUAACUUGCAUAAUUCUUCAAAUGAAUAUCACACCUUCGAUGGGGACAUACAAAUUGUUUCAACCUGAGGCUUGAAAAUAUGUGUCAUAAAGCAUUCUGAUUUAUCAAGAACACGUUGUAAUUUGUUGCAUUUGGAAUGUAGCUACCUAACUUCCUGAAUAUUUUAAUAAAAUACCUGUAAAAUUACACAAUCAAAACUAUACCUCCACCAAGCAAAGUGACAGAGAUGGUACUAACAUCAACAAAAAGGUAAGAGAAUGGUAAAUUUCAAAAGGUUCUAGCUGUUUCCGUACUCUCUGUACUCUUACCGUGAAAUCAAGCGCUGAAAAAGAUUCUAGGCUUAAAAUUCAAUUAAAGCAAACACUUUUGACAAUUAUUUUACUAUUUGAUGUAAAAAAAUAGAUUUUUUUGUCUAGUGCUUUAGUUCUUUGCCUCUUUUUAAUUUUUUCUUAUGUAUGGUUUUAUUUUAAAGUUCCACUGAGGCAAUAUACAUAUGCCAGGCAGAAAAUGCAGAUAUUAAGGGAUUUUAUUCAUAACAGGCUAAAUUUGUCUCUUGUGAAAGAUAAAAACACUUUAAAGUUGAUGAGUCUAUGAUUUUAAGUAAAAUCCUCAUUCAAAUGUGAUUGCUUUAUAGGUUUAACUCUGGUCAGAGCAAUUUGUGUUCUUUCUAUAUAUUACUCCAACUAUAAUAAAGCUGUUUAUGCAAAUGUGAAAUUGUUGCUAUUGCAGAAUCUUUCCAACCAUGUAAGGUUGUAAUGUUAAAUUCCCAUUCACGAUCAAAAUUCCACAUAUUUACAACCUGCAAACAUCCCAAAUUCACACUUCAACAUCUGUGUGGCUGCCAACUUCUACUGAAAUCUGUAGCAUGCUUUUUUAGAAGUGGAGGAAAAAAGAAUAAAAAACCUGAGACUAAGAUAAGAAUCAAGAAGGAUUCAUGUGCCAAAAGCACACAUUCAAGCCUGGGAGAGGAAAUCAGAGUCCUAAGCCCCAACUUGGAAUGACUUACUAGAUGAUUGUAGUGACAGAGCCAUCUCCACACCGGGCUCUCAUCUGAGUCAGUGAUAUACUCUGUGCUAACAGAGACGAUUAUCCCAAGCAGCCAGUGAAUCAAAGCACAGUCUAAACCAAAAUCAAAGACUGUGUCUGGCAAAGCAUCACAACUUCCAGAGGAUUUGCUGAACAAAGCUACCAAAAACUUUAAAAACUGCAGUCUUAAUCUAGUCACCCCUUACACCUAAAUGAUGACAGUGUGAUAUGAAAACACCAGUUAUUAUGCUUUACAAGUCAGCAUGCUCAUCAGCAAAGGAUCUAAGUUAAAAUUAAUCCCUGUCGAUAUAGAAGACAAUAUCAAACUGGAGCCUUUUUUUAAGAAAAAAAAAAAGAAAUAUGUAGACUGAACAAACUCAAACUUCUAACCAAAAACAAAGUGAUAAACCAGUUAAUCAAGCUAUGAGGAGAACCAGUUAAAUCUGAUAUGAAACCACCAUUUUACUAGAGCAAACUGUUACUAAGCUCUGUUUACAUCAGCUCUGCCUUUUUCUCUUUCUCGGUAGUUCAGCUAUGGAUUGUCUUGUGGACUCUCACCAUCCGGAAUGAUUUGCUUUCUAUUCCAGUCUAUUCUCAGCUGUCUGGCCCUGCACAAGUGCUCGCAGAACUCACUAAUACCGACCACCUCCCUACCCCCCUCACCCCAUCUGCUUUUUACUCUGAGCAUGCAGGGCUCUAAUCAGUUCUCCAUAGCGCAGAGACUACUUCUUGUUUUUACAGACAAACAUGUUAAUUGCCAUCACACUCACAGGCAGAAUGAAGGACUGUCUUUUUACCCUCCUCAGUCCACCCGCCUGGAUGCAACACAAACUACAAUCUCCAUCUCACCCAAGGACAAGCCCCCUCUUCUCUAAACAGCACACAUUCUUUCAAACAAAAAAUCCCCACAGCUUAAACAUGCACAUACACAAUUAACAUACAUACAUAGGAAGCGCAUCAUUGCAAUGAUGGAUAUAACUUAUUACAUUGACCUUACUAGCUAAAGAGUAAGUGGUAAAAGGGAUUCAAAAAUAUGAGUUAGAGCAUCAGGGUAAGUCCAGCACUUCAGAUGGGGGUCAGCAUUCCUGAACUCUGUUUUCUCAUCUGAUCCUAUAACCAACCUUUUUCUCUGCCACUGACUGUUGGGAAGCAGUGCAUUUUAAACAAAAAAGGCCUCCCUUUGAUACCUCUUUAAAUGUCAAGAGUAAGCCCUUAUAAGAACCCAGUAGUCGGUACCCAGAGUUGGUGCCCAAACAUGAAAGAGAUUAGAAGAAGGUCUUGGUGUGGAAAAAGCCGUGGACCCCUUUCACUUCCAGGUGACACACUGUCAUCACCCACAUUACAGGAAAGGUGAGGCUGCUAAACGAUUACUGGGUGGCGGAGGACUCCAGAUUAGCUUAAAUAAAUGGCAUUAUUUUUAUAAAUAUUUUCAAGGAAGUAUAAUAUUUGUCUAUAAAAAGAUGGUUGAGAGCUGCAUUUCACCUUUCAUGUUUGUAUCUUGAAGUUUCAAGUUCAUUUCCGUACUCUGGGGUAGCUGCCCAAGGGAAAUCUGCUCUUCAGGUUUACUCUCCUAACAUCGCCCACAAAUCACUCAUGCAACCAAAACCUGCCAAUGAAAAGCGCGUAAGGUCUCCUUCAUCUAAGAAACCAGCAGUUUCCAAAACAAGCUCUUGUACAUUAUCCACCAGUGGCCAAGGUCUGGUGAAACACAAACUCUCUCCCAUAUUGAAGCAGAGAAUAUAAAUGAGGGCAAACUUUCUGGAGAGCAGAUUGACCACAUAGAUCAAGAUUCUUACAAAUGUUCUUAUCCUUUGACCUAAUAAUUACAGUUCUUGGAAUUUAUCCCAAGGAAAUUAUCAGAGAAGCAAACAAAGAAUUAUGUACAAGGAUGUUCAUUGCAAUGCUAUUUAUAAUAGCAAAAAAUUGCCACUGCCUAAUUAAGCAACAAUAGGAAUUUAGUUAAGUAAAUUAUAGUAAAUCCAUAGAACAGAAUGCUAUUCAGGCAUUAAAAACCAUGUGUUCAAAGAAUGCAAAAUGGCUCAGGGAAAUGCUGACAAGAUAAUGUUAAGUUAAAAAAGUAGGCUACAGUAUGUUAAAUGCAACGUGACCCCAGUUUUAUAAAUAUUACAUAUGCAUAUGACAUGUAAUAUGUGUAUAUAAAAUUUGGAAGAAAGAAAAACUACAUUGAAGUUUACUAAGUGCCAAGGAAUGCAAUAAAACCUUUACAUAAUUAUUUUAUUCACUCAUCAAAAUAAUUCACAGAAUGAACUAUUUUGAUCUCUAUUUUGACAGUGAGAAAACGAGAGCAAAGAGAGAUUAAGUUGUCAAAGAUCACUCAGGUAAUACAUUGGGUAGCUAGUGUUUGAUCCUAGAUGAUCUAUGUCCUACAUAACACUAUCCAUUGUGUUGUUCUAUGGGUUAUUUUCUCCCUUGCGUUAUUUGUGUAUUUUUCCAAUUUUUUUCAAUAAACAUAUUACUUUUAUAACCAGUUUUUAAAAGGUUCUUAAUAGUGUGCAAAGUGAGAGUGAUUAGCAUAAGUACUGAAAUUAAAUUCAUAUUCUUACUGAAAUGAACAGGGUAUUUUUGAUUUGUUAAAAGCAGAAUACAGUUUUGUUUUUUUUUAACUCUAUUCAUUAAUUAUUUAGAUUCUGAAAAUGUACCACUUGCUUUGCCUUUUAUAAGUUUUGGCACUUUUAUGCUUAAUAUGGCAUUUUGUGAAGCAGAAGGGGAGAACUGAAGUGGGGAUUUCUUAAAAGAUAAGUAAAAAUACAGACAGGGAUUUUCUAGGUGUCUUCAAUCUUCCUAAUAGAAGGUAAGGUAAACUUCUAGGAGUGAGUCGAGCAGGGGUGGAAAUUAAAAUUACGGAG
rnacentral:lncRNA from 1 species